rnacentral:tRNA from 1 species
GCCUGGGUGGCUCAGUCAGUUGAGCAUCUGACUUCGGCUCAGGUUCACGAUCUCACAGUUGGUGGGUUUGAGCCCCAUGUCGGGCU